CUCACAUGCAAAAUUGCACCUGAAUUUGUCGCUUCAAUGGGUAGAGAUACCAUUACAGGAUAUGUGGCUUCCAAGAAAUCCACAAAAUCAAUUGAUGCUUCUCCCAGGAGACCUGCUUUGGAUGAUCCCUGCAAGGAUGUGGGUAAUUCGUGAAAGAUUUCCAAUAGAGAGAAAGAAAAUUGUAUUUACUUACUGCUGAGACAAUGAAAUGGUUCCUUCACGAAUUGAAGAUUUUCCUAAUCUCACUGUUGGCCUUCCGACAUCAGCUGGAACCAAAGAAAUCGCCAGCGUUUUUGCUUUUAGACGUGGCACCUGAGAACAUUAAUCAAAAUUGAGCAAGGAUGGUGAGAUUUUUAGAAUACAGUCAAACAAGAACUUCUUCUCUAAGAUGUGACAGAAACAGAAAAGUAGAAGAAUCUGUUUACACUUUCUUGAAAACAUACCUGUGUUGCCUGAAACUGCAUUUUGAAGACAGCUUUGAUCUUCCUUUCACUUCUCCAUGUUGCAGAUUUGAACAUUUUCCCCAACUGUCAGGUUAGUGUAACUUUGAUUAUCUCCCUUUAUGUUAUUCUUGUACCGUG